UUGUAUGUUGGGGGUGGAGUUUUGGGGUCCCCUAUUGAUAUGUUGGGGCGGAUUUUGGCGCGGGUCCCCAUUUAUAGUUGGGGUGGAAUAUUGGCGGUCCCCAUUUAUAUUGGGCGUGGAUUUUGGGAGUCCCCAUUAUAUUAUUGGGCAGGAUUUUGGGGCGUCCCAGUUAUAUUGGGGCGGGUUUGGGGGUCCCCAUUUCAUAUUUAUCCCGGGGGCGGAUUUUGGGGUCCCCAUUUAUAUUGGUGUGGAGUUUGAGGGUCCCCAUUUAUAUUGAGGGGGUUUUGGGUGGUGGCGCCGCAUUUGAUGGAUUGUGGGGGUGGGAGUUGUUGGUCCCGUAUUGUUAGUUGUUGGCAGAUUUUGGGGGUCCCCAUAUAUUGGGUGGAUUUUGGGGGGUCCGCAUUUAUAUUGUGCAGAUUUGGGGUGGCGCCGCAUGUUAGUGGAUUGGGCGGAUGAUGGGCGUGCCCCGAUUAUGAUUGGGGUGGAUUUGUGGGGGUCGGGCCCAUUUAUAUUUGGGUGGAUUUUGGUUGGUUCGCCCGAAUUGUAGAUGUGGGGAUUUUUGGGGGGUCAACCUAUUUAUAUUUGGGGCGGAUUUUGGGGGUCCCUAUUUAUAUUGGGGUGGAUUUGGGGGUCCCCAUUUAUAUUGGGGUGGAUUUUGGGGGUCCCCAUUUAUAUUGGGGCGGAUUUUGGGGGUCCCCAUUUAUAUUUGGGGUGGAUUUUGUGGGGUCCCCGAUUUAUAUUGGAGAUGGAUGUUGGGGGUGAGUCCACAUAUCUCUCUCUUCCCAGCCCCCAAAUCCCCCCGGGACCCCCCAGUUUCCCCCUUUACCCCUCGGGGUCCCUCCCUUAAAGGGGCCGCGCCCCCAUUGUGGGAUGUGGGGAAGCCCUUAAAGGGGCCGCUCCCCCCGGUGGCUCCAUUGAUGUCACGCGGGGGCGGCCCACCCGUGACGUCACCCGGGGGAACCCGGGCUGUCCCCGCACCCCAUAACCCCGCCCCAAUGUCACCCCAUAACCCCGCCCCAAUGUCACCCUAUAACGGCCCCCGGGGCCGCACCGGCCCCAUUUGCAGCCCGACACGGAGACAUGCGGCCCCACAGAGGUGGGCGUUUGCCGCCCCCCCCCACCGUGAAGGAGCUGCUGGAAACGAUGAGGGGGGGGCGGCGGGACGGGCACGGUGAGUGGGACCCACAUAUAGAUCCUAUAGAUCCCUAUAGAACCAUAUAGAUCCUAUGGACCCAUAUAGGUCCUAUAGACCCUAUGGGCCCUAUAGAACCAUAUAGAUCUUAUAGACCCUAUGGACCCUAUAGAUCCUAUGGAUCCUAUAGAUCCUUAUAGACCGUAUGGAUCCUAUAGAUCCUAAUAGACCCUUUGGACCCUAUAGAUCCUAUAGAUCCUAUAGACCGUAUGGAUCCUAUAGAUCCUAUAGACCCUGUGGACCCUAUAGACCCUAUGGACCCUAUGGACCCUAUGGAUCCUAUAGACCCAUAUAGACCCUAUGGACCCUAUAGAUACUAUGGACCCUAUAGAUCCUAUAGAUCCUUAUAGACCCUAUGGACCCUAUAGAUCCUAUAGACCUCUAUAGACCCUUAUAGACCCUAUAGAUCCUAUGGACCCUAUAGAUCCUAUAGACCCUAUAGACCCUAUGGACCCUAUGGACCCUAUAGAUCCUAUGGACCCUAUAGAUCCUAUGUACCCUAUGGAUCCUAUGGACCCCUAUAGACCCUAUAGAUCCUUAUAGACCCUAUAGACCCUAUAGAUCCUAUGGACCCUAUAGACCCUAUAGAUCCUGUAGAUCCUAUGGACCCAUAUAGACCCUAUGGACCCUAUAGACCCUAUGGACCUUAUAGACCCUAUGGACCCUAUAUAGAUCCUAUGGACCCUAUAGACCCCUAUAGAUCCUUAUAGACCCUAUAGACCCCUAUAGAUCCUAUAGAUCCUAUAGAACCAUAUAGAUCCUAUGGACCCUAUGGACCCUAUAGUUCCUAUAGACCCCUAUAGACCCUUAUAGACCCUAUAGAUCCUAUGGACCCUAUAGACCCAUAUAGAUCCUAUGGACCCAUAUAGACCCUAUGGACCCUAUAGACCCUAUAGAUUCUAUGGACCCUAUAGACCCUAUAGAUCCUUAUAGACCCUAUGGACCCUAUAGAUCCUUAUAGACCCUAUGGACCCUAUAGAUCC
rnacentral:lncRNA from 1 species